GUUGAGAGAUGAGGCAAAUCUGAUGUUUGACUUUAAUUUAGACCAAAUGUCUACAUUUUGAAGACAUUUUAAUUUUACCAAUAAUCUUUAAAACUGUCUUUAUUUCCAGGUUACUAAAGUCAUGUGAAUAAGAGGCAUUAAAGUUUCUAUUUUUCUGACAAAAUAUGAUAUAAGCGCUUAUUUUUUCUAAGCCAAUUAGAGCUCUUUUAUAUAUAAAUAUCACACACACAACACAUAAAUAGACAGACAGACAGACAGACAGAAGAUCCAGUAGUUGUAAGGUUUUUCAUUUGCCAGUUUCUUAAUUGGAUUACUGGCUUCAGGGUGGAGCCUUUGUAGGAAAAGGGCCAGGAAAGCACACAGCUUCUAGGGCCUAAUAAGAAGGCUUUGUGGCAAAUACACUUUUAAAACCUAACUCUGCCAAGUGCACUGGUGCAUACCUAUAGUCCCAGCUACUCAAGACGCUGAGACAGGAGGAUCGCUUGAGCCCAGGAAUUCUGGGCUAUAGUGCAAUAUGUUGAUCGGGUGUCUGCACUAAGUGUGGCAUUGAUAUGGUGACCUCCUGGGAGUGUGGGACCAUCAGGUUGCCUAAGGAGGAGUGAACUGGCCCAGGUCAGAUAUGGAACAGGAAAAAACUCAUGUGCUGAUCAGGAGUGGGAUUGCAUCUGUGAAGAGCCACUGCACUCCAGCCUGGGCAACAUAGAGAGAUCCUGCCUCUUAAAAAAAAAAAAAAAAAAAAAAGACAAAACCUGGCUCUUUGGUGUGGAACAUUUUGAGUGACAACAUAAAUAAUGAUGACAAUGGAUCAAAACCCAUAAAAUAAAAUAAAUUCCUAUGAGUCCAUACUGAUACAAAUAAAUAAUUGAAUAAAUAAAUAAACGGGAGAGGGAAGGCAACAGAAUCCCAAUUAAUAAAUGUAGAAGGAAUGAUGCAAUUGGAAAACUAUCAUUUAGCAAGACACAUAGUAAUAAUUGUUCUAGACCAGAAACAUCCAUGGGAAAGCCGGGUGCAGUGGCUCACACCUGGAAUCCCAGCACUUUGGGAGGCAGAGGUAAGGGGGAGUGCUUCAGCCCGGGAAUUCAAGACCAGCCUGGGAAGCAUAGCAAGACCCCAUCUCUACAAAAAAUAAAAAUAAAAAAUUAACCAGGUGUAGUGGCACACGCCUGUGGUCCUAGCUACUUGGGAGGCUGAGAUAGGAGGAUCACUUGAGCCUGGGAGGUUGAGGCUACAGUGAGCCAUGAUUAUGCCACUACACUCCUGCCUGGGGACAGAGUGAGACCCUGUCUCAAAAACAAUAAAAAUAGAAACAAAUAAGCUGACUCUUUCACUAAAUACCAUCUCCCUAUACAUUUAAGACAUGAUUUGAUAUAAGUGGAUUUGCAUAACUUAAAUUCUGUUGCACUUCUGAUACAUUUCUGUUUGUCUAUUCUCUACAUGAUCAGUCUCUUCAUUUCAAUUUGCUAUAUGAAAGCAGAUUUUCAAACUAUUCACAUGGUAACAUCUUGAAGUCUCGCUCGCUUUCCGAUUCUCUAACACUUUCAGAUAGGACCCUGCAUUAUUUUUUCCUUCUCAUACCUCUCUCAUCCUUCUCAAUCAAAAUAGUUGAAUGGGUUAGUCAAUGGGUGGAUUAAUAAAGCUACAGAAUCACUCUCC
rnacentral:lncRNA from 10 species